GGGGUAUUAGCUCAUCUGGCUAGAGCGCAACAAUGGCAUUGUUGAGGUGGACGGUUCGAGUCCGUCAUACUCCA
rnacentral:tRNA from 1 species